rnacentral:lncRNA from 1 species
GAGAGAACGGGAUAGAUCAAAGGCAAAUAUUCCCACGAAAAAUAUAAAUUCAAUAAUUGAACUUUUAGAUUGAUUUACUACAAAUUUCUCUCUCUUCAAUAUUUGCUUUCGAUAUGUUGAAACUAGCAAAUUAAUAACAUGGGAAUAGUUAGGCAUAAAACCUAGGUUUUUUUUUAGAGGGUGCAUUUGCUAACGCAUGGGUUGGGAAUCUCUUAAUUAUAUUUAACUUUUCAAACUAACUUCAAAAUCACUAGAUUAACACACCAUCAUGAAAUAUCGUUUAUCGAGCC